rnacentral:rRNA from 1 species
CGGGUGAGUAACACGUAUCCAACCUGCCGUCUACUCUUGGCCAGCCUUCUGAAAGGAAGAUUAAUCCAGGAUGGGAUCAUGAGUUCACAUGUCCGCAUGAUUAAAGGUAUUUUCCGGUAGACGAUGGGGAUGCGUUCCAUUAGAUAGCAGGCGGGGUAACGGCCCACCUAGUCAACGAUGGAUAGGGGUCCUGAGAGGAAGGUCCCCCACAUUGGAACUGAGACACGGUCCAA